GACGAACGCUGGCGGCGUGCUUAACACAUGCCAGUCGAACGGUGAAGCGCCUUCCUUUUUGGUGGGUGUGGAUGAGUGGCGAACGGGUGAGUAACACGUGAGUAACCUGCCCCCUUCUUCUGGAUAACCGCAUGAAAGUGUGGCUAAUACGGGAUAUUCUGGGUCUGUCGCAUGAUGGGUCUGGGAAAGAUAUUGUUUCGGUGGGGGAUGGGCUCGCGGCCUAUCAGCUUGUUGGUGGGGUGAUGGCCUACCAAGGCGGUGACGGGUAGCCGGCCUGAGAGGGUGGACGGUCACAAUGGGACUGAGACACGGCCCAGACUCCUACGGGAGGCAGCAGUGGGGAAUAUUGCACAAUGGGCGCAAGCCUGAUGCAGCGACGCCGCGUGAGGGAUGGAGGCCUUCGGGUUGUGAACCUCUUUCGCCAGUGAAGCAGGCCUGCCUCGUUUGUGGGUGGGUUGACGGUAGCUGGAUAAGAAGCGCCGGCUAACUACGUG
rnacentral:rRNA from 1 species